GCUAAGGUAGCAUAAUAAUUUGUCUAAUAAUUUUAGACUGGAAUGAAUGUAAUCACACGGUUCUAAUGUCUCCCUCCUUAUUGGUUGAAUUUCCUUUAUAGGUGAAAAGGCCUAUAACGAAUAAUGGGACGAGAAGACCCUUAGAAUUUGUAAAAGAUUUCACUGGGGCGGUGAUGGCUUGAAUCAGCCAUAAUAAUACAAGACGGACGUGUCAUGUGUGAGUAAAUUACCUAAGGGAUAACAGCAUAAUAAUAUAAAUUUGAUUGUGACCUCGAUGUUGGACUAGGGAACUCCAGGGCCAGAAGCUC
rnacentral:rRNA from 1 species